rnacentral:tRNA from 1 species
GGAGAGGUAGCAAAGCGGUCAAAUGCACCUGACUGUAAAUCAGGCGCCUUCGGGCUUCGUAGGUUCGAAUCCUACCCUCUCCA